rnacentral:tRNA from 1 species
AAUCUCAUGGCUCAAAUGGUUAGAGCACCGAUCUUUUAAAUCGGGGGUUGAAAGUUCGAAUCUUUCUGGGAUUA